GAUGAACGCUGGCGGCGUGCCUAAUACAUGCAAGUCGAGCGAACGGACGAGAAGCUUGCUUCUCUGAUGUUAGCGGCGGACGGGUGAGUAACACGUGGAUAACCUACCUAUAAGACUGGGAUAACUUCGGGAAACCGGAGCUAAUACCGGAUGAUAUUUUGAACCGCAUGGUUCAAUAGUGAAAGACGGUCUUGCUGUCACUUAUAGAUGGAUCCGCGCUGCAUUAGCUAGUUGGUAAGGUAACGGCUUACCAAGGCAACGAUGCAUAGCCGACCUGAGAGGGUGAUCGGCCACACGGGAACUGAGACACGGUCCAGACUCCUACGGGAGGCAGCAGUAGGGAAUCUGCCGCAAUGGGCGAAAGCCUGACGGAGCAACGCCGCGUGAGUGAUGAAGGUCUUCGGAGCGUAAAACUCUGUUAUUAGGGAAGAACAUAUGUGUAAGUAACUGUGCACAUCUUGACGGUACCUAAUCAGAAAGCAACGGCUAACUACGUG
rnacentral:rRNA from 1 species